GCUUGCAUCAUGAUUUACAUUUGAGUGAGUGGCGAACUGGUGAGUAACACGUGGGAAACCUGCCCAGAAGCGGGGGAUAACACCUGGAAACAGAUGCUAAUACCGCAUAACAACUUGGACCGCAUGGUCCGAGCUUGAAAGAUGGCUUCGGCUAUCACUUUUGGAUGGUCCCGCGGCGUAUUAGCUAGAUGGUGGGGUAACGGCUCACCAUGGCAAUGAUACGUAGCCGACCUGAGAGGGUAAUCGGCCACAUUGGGACUGAGACACGGCCCAAACUCCUACGGGAGGCAGCAGUAGGGAAUCUUCCACAAUGGACGAAAGUCUGAUGGAGCAACGCCGCGUGAGUGAAGAAGGGUUUCGGCUCGUAAAACUCUGUUGUUAAAGAAGAACAUAUCUGAGAGUAACUGUUCAGGUAUUGACGGUAUUUAACCAGAAAGCCACGGCUAACUACGUGCCAGCAGCCGCGGUAAUACGUAGGUGGCAAGCGUUGUCCGGAUUUAUUGGGCGUAAAGCGAGCGCAGGCGGUUUUUUAAGUCUGAUGUGAAAGCCUUCGGCUCAACCGAAGAAGUGCAUCGGAAACUGGGAAACUUGAGUGCAGAAGAGGACAGUGGAACUCCAUGUGUAGCGGUGAAAUGCGUAGAUUUAUGGAAGAACACCAGUGGCGAAAGCGGCUGUCUGGUCUGUAACUGACGCUAAGGCUCGAAAGUAUGGGUAGCAAACAGGAUUAGAUACCCUGGUAGUCCAUACCGUAAACGAUGAAUGCUAAGUGUUGGAGGGUUUCCGCCCUUCAGUGCUGCAGCUAACGCAUUAAGCAUUCCGCCGGGGGAGUACGGCCGCAAGGCUGAAACUCAGAGGAAUUGACGGGGGCCCGCACAAGCGGUGGAGCAUGUGGUUUAAUUCGAAGCUACGCGAAGAACCUUACCAGGUCUUGACAUACUAUGCAAAUCUUAGAAGAUAAGACUUUCCCUUCGGGGACAUGGAUACAGGUGGUGCAAGGUGU
rnacentral:rRNA from 1 species